AGAGUUUGAUCAUGGCUCAGAACAAACGCUGGCGGCGUGCCUAACACAUGCAAGUCGAACGAGAAAUUCUGGCUUCGGCCGGGAGAGUAAAGUGGCGCACGGGUGAGUAACGCGUGGGAACCUACCCUAUAGUACGGAAUAACUCAGGGAAACUUGUGCUAAUACCGUAUACGUCCUUCGGGAGAAAGAUUUAUCGCUAUGGGAUGGGCCCGCGUCAGAUUAGGUAGUUGGUAGGGUAAUGGCCUACCAAGCCGACGAUCUGUAGCUGGUCUGAGAGGAUGAUCAGCCACACUGAGACUGAGACACGGCCCAGACUCCUACGGGAGGCAGCAGUGGGGAAUAUUGGACAAUGGGGGCAACCCUGAUCCAGCCAUGCCGCGUGAGUGAAGAAGGCCUUCGGGUUGUAAAGCUCUUUCGGCGGGGACGAUGAUGACGGUACCCGCAUAAGAAGCCCCGGCUAACUUCGUGCCAGCAGCCGCGGUAAUACGAAGGGGGCUAGCGUUGUUCGGAAUUACUGGGCGUAAAGCGCGCGUAGGCGGUGUUCUUUGUCAGAGGUGAAAUCCCGGGGCUCAACCUCGGAAUUGCCUUUGAAACGGGGACGCUUGAGUCCGAGAGAGGAUGGCGGAAUUCCUAGUGUAGAGGUGAAAUUCGUAGAUAUUAGGAAGAACACCGGUGGCGAAGGCGGCCAUCUGGCUCGGUACUGACGCUCAGGCGCGAAAGCGUGGGGAUCAAACAGGAUUAGAUACCCUAGUAGUCC
rnacentral:rRNA from 1 species